UACGUAGGUGGCGAGCGUUGUUCGGAUUUAUUGGGCGUAAAGGGUUCGUAGGAGGUAUGGUAAGUUCGAUGUGAAAUCCCGUGGCUCAACUGCGGAACUGCAUUGAAAACUGUCGUACUUGAGUGCCAUAGAGGAGAGCGGAAUUCCUGGUGUAGCGGUGGAAUGCGUAGAUAUCAGGAAGAACACCGAUAGCGUAGGCAGCUCUCUGGGUGGCAACUGACUCUGAAGAACGAAAGCGUGGGGAG
rnacentral:rRNA from 1 species